GUACUCCUUCGGAAGUACGCAUACUAAAAUUGGAACGAUACAGAGAAGAUUAGCAUGCCCCUGCGGAAGGUUGACACGCAAAUUCGUGAAGCGUUCCAUAUUUUU